GUGAACGCUGGCGGUAGGCCUAACACAUGCAAGUCGAACGGCAGCACAGUAAGAGCUUGCUCUUACGGGUGGCGAGUGGCGGACGGGUGAGGAAUACAUCGGAAUCUACUUUUUCGUGGGGGAUAACGUAGGGAAACUUACGCUAAUACCGCAUACGACCUACGGGUGAAAGCAGGGGAUCUUCGGACCUUGCGCGAUUGAAUGAGCCGAUGUCGGAUUAGCUAGUUGGCGGGGUAAAGGCCCACCAAGGCGACGAUCCGUAGCUGGUCUGAGAGGAUGAUCAGCCACACUGGAACUGAGACACGGUCCAGACUCCUACGGGAGGCAGCAGUGGGGAAUAUUGGACAAUGGGCGCAAGCCUGAUCCAGCCAUACCGCGUGGGUGAAGAAGGCCUUCGGGUUGUAAAGCCCUUUUGUUGGGAAAGAAAAGCAGCAGGUUAAUACCCCGCUGUUCUGACGGUACCCAAAGAAUAAGCACUGGCUAACUUCGUG
rnacentral:rRNA from 1 species